UAUAUAUAUAUGUAAUCAUAGGCUUAGAAUUUACAAAGCUAUUUUUAAACUUAAUUGUUAAAGCUAUUAUGAUAAGAGGUAUGGUAGAAGAGAAAAUGUAAUACGCCCAUGGAGAUACAACUAAAACAAAAAGAAAAAGAUAAUCUAAAUAAUAUGCAUUGUUGUCUUAUUUAAUUAUCAUCAUUUUACAAUACAAUGAUAAUCUAAGUAUAUGCAUUGUUGUAUAUACUUUCUUAGGUCUAGCACCAAAUGAAGGAUUUCAUAUGAGCACAUAAUAUUUUUCAUUUUUCCCACCGGCCGCACCUUAGUGGAAUGCAUCUACACAAUCCACCCACACACUUUGGUAUUUGAUAAACCUUGCACAUGUUACGUGGACAAUUACCAUCAAUAAAACAUGGAUAAAACUCUCUAAUAAAGAAAUAGAAUGGAAUUUGUUUACGUUUGAAGUUUGUUGCAACCAUAAAUUCGGAAAGAAAGAUAAUCAUACCACAAACAAAAUUGACAAUUGUAGUCAUGUUUCCCUCCUUUUUUUUUUUGUAAUAAAUGUAACUUUAUAAUUUCUAAUGCUCAUUUUUCGCUUAAAUCAAAUAAAUAGUUAUUUUCUCUUAUGAAGUUGUAAAAAAUUAUUCUUAAUAUUAUAAUUAUUACAAUAUGUUCCUUAAGUACAUCAAUGUGUCAUAUUUGUCCCUUUAGCAUAACAAAAAGAUAUGUCACAAUUUUUUUUUAUUCUUAAUAUUUUAAUUAUUACAAAAUAUCUAUUAAGUACAUUUGAUCUCUUCGAGAACAUAUCUUAUAGGUGACAUGGUUGUGGUGCUCCUGCAGCAGAGGUACCACACUUAUAUGGACGAUUUGAAUGCAACCAUUCCCCCAUGAAAUAGUUGGGUUAAGGAAGACGUUAGAUGUCAGGUCAACGGAAGAGAUCGGUUUCGGGAAAAGUUUUCGUGUGGUUAGUGAUGAUAUGUCAUCUUACGUUAUUUUCAACAUGUUUUUCGGUCAUUUUAGGAAUCAAUAAAGAUGGGUUUUAGAGAAGUAUCACAUGGUUAAAGUCACAUUUUGUAAUGUAUUCAAAUCGAGUUAUGUAAUUAUGUUUCUCCUCUAAACAAGACAAUUAACCAAAAGAGAAGACUUUGAUCCUCCCCCUUGGCUUAUAAAAGGCUUUCAAGAUGUUGUCAAUUAUUAUGACCUUUGCAACCUUCCCCUUGAUGGAUACCAAUGUACUUGGUUUAAUAGUAUGUGUAGAAGUUCUUCUAAAGAGGCUAGACUUUAUAAUGGUUUUUGCACUACCUCGUACCAGAAAAUCUACCCUCCAAACUUGAUCUUGCUCACGUUGUAAAGAUCACCUUUUUAAGAUCACCGGGUUGAGUAAUGACCAGAUCACCUUUUUUAAGCAGACUUAAUUGUUGGAACAAAAUGUGUUUCACAAUAAACCUUAAUAAGUUUUGAUGAUAACAAGGUAUUAAAAAUUGUCAAUUGGUUAUUGCUAAUGAUUGUUCAAGUGUACAGGACCAUAUGCAAAGUCACUCAAUUUCAAUAGGUCUUGGAAGAACAAUGGAGAGCAAAAGAAUCCUAAGCAUCUGAAGAAAACUGCGUCUGAAGCCAAGAAAUGCUUUUGAAGUGACAAAGUGCCUUUGAAGAAAUGACGUCAUCAGAAGCAGAAGAUCAUCAGAAGCAGAAGACCAUCAUAAGCACAAUUUCAUCAGAAGCUAUAUCAUCACCAUAAGCUUCAAGUGAACAGUUAAUUUAAACUGAAGAUUCAAAGAAGCUGUUUUUCGUUUCAACCUCGUCUAAGAGAACGAAGAAUUGAAAGGGAGGUAUCAACGGUCAUUUUAAAAGCACUGAGUAUUUGUCCUUCAUUAUCAGAGUUGACAAAGUACAAGUGUACAACCACUACCUCCACUACUCUGUUUUUGUCUACGCUACAAGACAAGACAACAGCCAUGCCUGCAGAAAUGUUCCUUCAAGAUGGGAAUGAAUUUGAAGUCGAUUCUUCAAAGGACUACACCCAAAUCAGGCAAAAGAUUACUGGUGGAUGAUCAAAGGAACUCAACGACUCUUUAGACGUGCUAAAAAUAUCAACGUCUCUUUCACACCUCUAUAUAAAGGAGUGAGGACUUGAAGAUUGGCAAGAGACAUCAAUACAAGUUAAAAGCGCCAAAACUCUGCCAAAUUUGAUUCUACAAAGCACCUUGAAUUUCUGCACUGAUUUGAUACAUCUUAGAAAUUCACAAGUCUAGAGUCUUUAUUGCAUUGUAUUGAGAAAACCACUGAUUGUAUAUCAAGUGUUCAUCAUCAAACAUUUUCUCUGUAUUUUUGUUUGAAUAGAAGCCUCUUGCCUGCGUGCUUGAGCAUUAGUAGACUCUUGCUUUAGUGCUUGAGCAUUGGAAAACUCUUGCCUGCGUGCUUGAGCAUUUUGAGAAGUCUCAUACUUAGAGAGUAUUGAGCAUUUGUAAUCUUUGUGAUUAUUAGUGAAAUCUCCUUGGAAGUGCAAGGGGGACUGGACUACUUCCGAUUUGUGGAAGGAACCAAAAUAAUUGCUUGUGUCUUUCUUUCUUUUCUCUGCUCUGUUUUAUUCCGCUGCAUAUCUGAUUCUGAACAUUACAUCAGAAGCACUCCUAACCUGCUUCUGAAGUAUUAUCAGAAGAAGAAUUUUUAGAGAAAAAGAAAACACAAUUCAACCCCCCCUUCUUGUGUUUUUCUCACCUUCAAUUGGUAUAAGAGCUUGUUCUGUUAUCAAAGCACUUAACCGUGUGACAGAUCAAGAUCCAAGAAAAACAUGUCUGCUGAAGAGGAAUCCACUCCAAAAUACAAUAGUGUCAAACAUGAGAAUGAUACUGCUGACAAGAAAUCAGAUUCUGGAAAAGCUCCAAAGUUCAGUGGAGAUCCAGAAGAGUUUUCAUGGUGGAAAACCAACAUGUACAGCUACAUCAUGGGAUUGGAUGAGGAGCUAUGGGAUAUUCUUGAAGAUGGAGUUGAUGAUUUGGAUUUGGAUGAAGAAUGAGCUGUUAUUGACAGAAGGAUACACACUCCUGCUCAGAAGAAACUCUACAAAAAGCAUCACAAGAUCAGAGGGAUCAUUGUUGCUUCUAUACCUCGCACUGAAUAUAUGAAGAUGAGUGAUAAAUCCACUGCUAAGGCAAUGUUUGCAUCACUCUGUGCUAACUACGAAGGUAGCAAGAAGGUUAAAGAAGCAAAGGCAUUAAUGCUAGUUCAUCAGUAUGAGCUGUUCAAAAUGAAGGAUGAUGAGAGUAUAGAGCAGAUGUACUCAAGAUUUCAAACUUUAGUAUCUGGACUGCAAAUACUGAAGAAGAGCUAUGUUGCUUCUGAUCAUGUUAGCAAGAUUCUGAGAAGCUUGCCUUCUAGAUGGAGACCCAAAGUAACUGCCAUUGAGGAAGCUAAGGAUCUAAACACUUUAAGUGUUGAAGAUCUUGUCAGUUCCCUCAAGGUACAUGAAAUGAGUCUUAAUGAGCAUGAAUCCUCUAAGAAGAAUAAAUCUAUUGCUCUACCAUCUAAAGGAAAGUCUUCUAAGUCUUUCAAAGCUUACAAGGCCAGUGAAUCUGAAGAAGAAUCACCAGAUGGAGAUUCUGAUGAAGAUCAAUCUGUGAAGAUGGCUAUGCUGUCUAACAAGCUUGAAUAUCUAGCAAGGAAGCAGAAGAAGUUUUUGAGCAAGAGAGGUGGUUACAAGAACUCCAAGAAAGAAGAUAAAAAGGGAUGCUUCAACUGUAAGAAGCCUGGACAUUUCAUUGCUGAUUGCCCUGAUCUUCAGAAGGAGAAGUCAAAGAGCAGACCUAAGAAACCAAGUUUCAGCUCUAGCAAAUUCAGAAAGCAAAUCAAAAAGAGUUUGAUGGCGACCUGGGAAGAUCUGGAUAGUGAAUCUGGUUCUGAUAAAGAAGAAGCAGAUGAUGAUACAUAAGCAGCCAUGGGGUUAGUGGCAACAGUAUCAUCAGAAGCAGUAUCAGAAGCUGAAUCAGAUUCAGAAGAUGAAAAUGAGGUCUAUUCCAAAAUUCCCAGACAAGAACUUGUUGAUUCUCUUAAAGAACUUUUAUCACUAUUUGAACACAGAACCAAUGAGUUGUCUGAUUUAAAAGAAAAAUAUGUUGAUUUAAUGAAACAACAAGAAACAACUCUAUUGGAACUGAAAGCUUCUGAAGAAGAACUCAAAGGGUUUAACUUCAUAUCAAACACAUAUGAAGACAGACUCAAGAUUCUUUGUCAUAAGCUACAAGAAAAAUGUGAUAAAGGUUCUGGCAAUAAACAUGAAAUUGCCUUGGAUUAUUUUAUAAUGGCUGGCAUAGACAGAAGCAAAGUAGCUUCUAUGAUCUACAACAUAUACAAAAACAAUGGCAAAGGGAUUGGAUAUUCUGAGGAGAAAUCCAAAGAGUACAGUCUAAAGAGCUAUUGUGAUUGUAUUAAGGAUGGAUUGAAAUCCACCUUUGUGCCUGAGGGUACUGAUGUUGUAACUACUGUUCAGUCAGAACCUGAAGCUUCUGGUUCUAAGGCUAAGAUUACAUCAAAGCCAGAAAACCUUAAGUCUAAGGUUAUGACAAAAUCUGAUCCUAAGACUACAAAGAUCAAAAUUCUGAAAAGAUCAGAACCUGUUCCUUAGAGUCUGAUUAAACCAGAAUCUAGAAUUCUAAAGUCAAAGAAUCAGAAGAACAAAACAGUUACUGCUUUUGAGAAAACAAUACCAGAAGGUGUUAAACCUAAAGUAUUGAAUGAUCAGAAGCUACUUAGCACUCAACCCAAGAUACAAGGGAGCAAAAUUAAAACCUCCAGAACUAACCCAAAAGGACCCAUGAAGAUAUGGGUACCUAAAUCUGAAUUGAUAAAAAAUGUAGGUAUGCCUAAGGGCAAGAGAGAAACAAAGGUCCUGGUACCUAGACAGCGGGUGUUCAAGACAUAUGACAGGAGAGAAAGCUUUGUUCCUUACCCUUACCAUGAAAGAUGGAGGAGAAGUGAAGUUUGGUGGCAACCAAACUGGAAAAAUCAUUGGUACAAGUACUAUUGGUAAUUCCUCCAUUUCAAUAAAUAAUGUUUGGCUUGUAGAUGGUCUGAAGCAUAACUUAUUGAGCAUCAGUCAAUUUUGUGACAAUGGGUAUGAUGUUAUGUUUAGUAAGACCAACUGCACACUAGUCAACAAGGAUGACAAAUCCAUUACCUUUAAGGGAAAGAGAGUUGAGAAUGUCUAUAAGAUUAAUUUCUCUGAUCUGGCUGAUUAGAAAGUAGUUUGCCUUCUGUCAAUGAAUGAUAAAAAGUGGGUAUGGCAUAGAAGGUUGGGACAUGCUAAUUGGAGAUUAAUUUCUAAAAUCAGCAAGUUACAACUUGUCAAAGGGUUGCCUAACAUUGAUUAUCAUUCAGAUGCACUAUGUGGUGCAUGUCAGAAAGGAAAAAUUGUUAAAAGUAAAGAUUAUGCAUGUGAAGUGUUUAGCAGCUUCUGCAUUCAAAUACAAUCUGAAAAAGAAAUGAAAAUUUUGAAAGUCAGAAGUGAUCAUGGUGGAGAAUUUGAAAACGAGCCAUUUGAAUCUUUUUGUGAAAAACAUGGGAUUCUCCAUGAAUUCUCUUCUCCUAGAACUCCAUAAAAAAAUGGGGUUGUAGAGAGAAAGAACAGAACUUUACAAGAAAUGGCCAGAACCAUGAUCCAUGAAAAUAAUUUAGAUAAACAUUUAUGGGCAGAAGUAGUUAAUACUUCAUGUUAUAUUCAAAAUAGGAUCUAUAUCAGACCUAUGUUGGAGAAAACAGCAUAUGAACUCUUCAAAGGAAGAAGACCCAAUAUCUCUUACUUUCAUCAGUUUGGAUGUACUUGUUACAUUCUAAACACUAAACACUAUCUAAAGAAAUUUGAUGCCAAGGCUCAAAGAGGAAUCUUUUUAGGUUACUCUGAAAGGUCAAAUGCAUACAGAGUGUAUAAUUCAGAAACACAUUGUGUUGAAGAAUCUAUGCAUGUUAAAUUUGAUGAUAGAGAGCCUGGAAGUAAAACUCCAGAGCAAGUUGAAAGUAAUGCAGGUACAAAUGAUUCAGAAGAUGCAUCAGAAUCUGAACAAACUUCUGAUACUGAAAAGAAUUCAGAAGCAGAAUCAAGUCCAGAAGCUGAACCUAAUCCAGAAGUUGAGUCAAGUUCAGAAGCUGAACCUAAUCCAGAAGCACAGAAUGAAAAUGCUUCUGAGGAUAUUCAAGAUAACACUCAACACGUGAUUCAAUCGAAAUUCAAGCAUAAAUCUUCACAUCCUGAGGAGCUAAUCAUUGGAAGCAAAGACAGUCCUAGAAGAACAAGAUCUCAUUUCAGACAAGAAGAAUCUUUGAUAGGAUUGAUGUCCAUAAUUGAGCCAAAAACUGCUGAAGAAGCUUUAUCAGAUGAUGGAUGGAUAUUAGCUAUGCAAGAAGAGCUAAAUCAGUUCCAAAGGAAUGAUGUGUGGGAUCUGGUACCCAAACCUAACCAGAAGAACAUUAUUUGAACAAAAUGGGUAUUCAAAAACAAGCUGAAUGAACAAGGAGAGGUAACCAGAAACAAAGCUAGACUUGUUGCACAAGGUUACAGUCAACAAGAAGGCAUUGAUUACACUGAAACAUUUGCUCCAGUUGCAAGAUUGGAAGCAAUCAGGUUACUUCUAUCCUAUGCAGUUAAUCAUGGCAUAAUAUUAUAUCAAAUGGAUGUCAAGAGUGCUUUUCUUAAUGGUGUCAUUGAAGAAGAAGUGUAUGUCAAACAACCUCCUGGAUUUGAGGAUUUUAAGCAUCCUGAUCAUGUUUACAAACUUAAAAAAUCACUAUAUGGCUUGAAACAAUCUCCCAGAGCUUGGUAUGAUAGACUAAGUAAUUUCUUAAUUAAAAAUGAUUUUAAAAGAGGUCAAGUUGACAUAACACUCUUCAGAAGGACUCUUAAGAAAGACAUUCUGAUUGUGCAAAUAUAUGUUGAUGAUAUAAUAUUUGGUUCUACUAAUGCAUCUCUUUGCAAGAAAUUUUCUAAGUUAAUGCAGGAUGAAUUUGAAAUGAGCAUGAUGGGAGAAUUAAAAUUCUUUCUUGGAAUUCAAAUUAAUCAAAGCAAAGAAGGAGUAUAUGUUCAUCAAACAAAAUAUACAAAAGAGCUUCUGAAGAAGUUCAAGCUAGAAGAUUGUAAAGUGAUGAACACUUCAAUGCAUCCAACCUGCACCUUAAGCAAAGAAGAUACUGGAACAGUAGUAGACUAGAAGCUAUACAGAGGUAUGAUUGAUUCUCUGUUAUACCUCACUGCAUCUAGACCAGAUAUUUUAUUCGGUGUAUGCUUGUGUGCAAGAUUUCAAUCAGAUCCUAGAGAAUCUCAUUUAACUGCUGUUAAGAGAAUCUUCAGGUAUCUGAAGGGAACAACUAAUCUUGGACUCCUGUAUAGGAAAUCCCUAGAUUAUCUGUUGGUUGGAUUCUGUGAUGCUGAUUAUGCUGGUGACAUGAUUGAAAGAAAAUCAACCAAAGGAAAUUGUCAAUUCCUAGGAGAGAAUCUGAUAUCCUGGGCAAGCAAAAGACAAGCAACAAUUGCUAUGUCUACAGCAGAAGCAGAAUACAUUUCAGCUGCAAGUUGUUGUACACAACUACUUUGGAUGAAACAUCAGUUGGAAGAUUAUCAAAUUAAUGCUAACAGUAUUCCCAUCUUUUGUGAUAAUACUGCUGCUAUUUGUUUGUCAAAGAAUCCAAUUCUACAUUCAAGAGCCAAGCAUAUUGAGAUCAAACACCAUUUUAUCAGAGACUAUGUUCAAAAAGGAAUUUUAGAUAUACAAUUCAUUGAUACUGAGCAUCAAUGGGCUGAUAUAUUUACAAAGCCUUUAACUGUUGAAAGAUUUGAUUUUAUCAAGAAAAAUUUGAACAUGCACUUUGUGUCUGACUAAGAUUUGCUUGCCUCUGAAUAAGAAGUUUGGUUCUGAAGUUUAUUCAGAAUCUUUGGUCCAUCAGAAGCUCUUAACUGAGGUUCUGAGGAAAAUGUGCUUCUGAAGAUGACGUCAGCACUAAAACUUCAGAAGCUGUAUUCUUUACUUCUGAAUAGCAAGGCUAGUGGGAUCGUUGCAGUUACGUUUUAGUAACACCUGUCCCAUUAACCAAGGUUAUUAGUCUGAAAAGUUUCUGACGUGGUCUAUUUGUAUUGGAGUAUAACAAAAAGGGCAAUGAUGAAUUAUAUGCUUUUAAACGUACUAACACGCGCCCCCAAUUUGUCAUUAAUGCUUUGUGUGUUUGUCCCUUUUGAAUUGCAAACGUUUUUACUAAAAACACUUAGACAAACACACACUACUCACUUCACAACUCACACUUUAAUUUCUUCUCCAACCUUCUCUGCGAAGUAAUCAAAAACCCUAGAAACCCCUUUUCCUUCUCAAUCAAUCAAAUGGCUUCAUCUAGUUCUGCUCCUGGAUCAUCAUCUAACAAGCAACAACAAGAAGCUCCUGCCUACGAGAUUAAAGGAAGAACCAUGUCCUUGGAGGAAUGGGACUUGAGAAUCCAGACUGAAUGUCCGGUGGAUUUUAACUCAUUAGCUGCUCACAACUGCGACAUUGGCAAAUUCUACGACGCUCAAGGCUUAGGAAGCUACUUCAACUUUUUAAAUGGUACAACUUAUCAAACGUUGGUGCAUCAUUUCUGGGUCAGGGCCAGCAUAUAUGACAGAGAAGUUGCAAAGGUUGAAGAAGAUGAAAAAGUUCUUCUCAAUCUAGAAUUGGAAGGUAAAUGAAGAAAGGAAAUGAUAUUGGAACCGUUCUCUCAGACAGAAAUUAGGUCAAGCAUCAUGGGGAUUCCAGUUCGUAUUUCAGAGGAUGUCAUUGCUUUCGUUCUCAGAAGGCCAGUUACAGGAGAAUACAAAGCUGGUAUUACGAAAGUCAAGGAGAGCCCUUGGAAUGGAGUUGUAAAUCAGACCCUCUACAACAACCCAAUCAAGGGAACGUAUUCUGAUAUGAAUGCUCAAACCAAAGUGAUGCUGAAGAUUCAGAAUGAGAAUCUGCUAUCAAAAGGUGGUGGUAGUGAUCAGCCCUCUUUGGAGCACAAGAUUCUGCUUCACUUUUUCAUAACCGGUGUGAAGGCAAAUGUGCCCAGAUACAUUUUCAGGCACAUGGUACAACAACUCAGAGAGAGCAAGCUGAAGAAUAGGUGCUGGGUGCCCUAUGGGAGGCUUCUCUCUGAAAUCUUCCAUCAAUGAGGUAUUCUCAAACUUCUGAACGAAGUAGACUUCUUCACUGAUGAACAGCUUGGAACUGUUAGAGGAAAAAUCAUCAAUGCAGAAACUCUGAGGUCCAUGCAUCUGAUCAAAGCAAAGGAUCUUAAGAAGCUAAGCAUAGAUAUGACAGAAUCUGAUGCUAAAUUAGCCGUGAUUCCUAACUUUCCUCCUAUCUGCAAACAAGACCCUCUGGAUGUUCAUAUGCACUACUUCAGAUAGCACUUUGAAAGAACAAAUGUCAAAAUCAGUUUGAAGGAAGUGCCUGAACAAAUGUAUGGAGGAGCUCUUCCUGUUGCCAAGAGCAGGAAGACAAAGAGCAAAGCUUUAACCAAGGAAGAUGAUCUGGUAGAAGAAGCUACAAGAAAACCCUCCAAGAGAUCAAGAAAGGCUGAGAAAGAGACUGUUGCAGCACCUAAGCCUAAGAAAGGUAAAACUGUCAAAACUGAAAGUUCUACUGUUUCUGCUUCUGAGGAAGUCAUUCAAAAGAAAAGAAACAGAGAGCCAGAGGUUCAAGAUGCUGCUAGGGAAGCUGCUCUUCGUGAAGAUGCCACCAAAAGGGAAGCUGCUCUUCAAGCUAUCAGAAGCAAAAGAGCAAAGGGAGAGAGAAGCAUUCAGGAGCGUAUCAGGGAAGCUGCUGAACAGCUAAGAAAAGAAGAAGCUGAUCCUAGUUUGAAGAAGGCUCAGAAGCCUGUAUCCUUGGAAUCACCUUGCUUCAGACUCACCCCUGAGCAAGAAGAAAGGACCAGAGAAAUUGCUGCAAAUGGGUUAGCUAAAAGAAGGCAAAUGACUGAAAUCUACAAGAGGAACAGAGAUGAACAGCUCAAAGCAGCAGGGUAUGAGCUGGAUGCUGAGAAAGCUGCGGUAAUUGCUUCUUUGGCUGCUGAGAUUGAAGAAGAAACUGUUAGGGAAGGAGCUGCUUUGUUAAAGCAGGCUCUGAAAGCUAAGCAUGUCUCAGGAGCAACAUCUUCAGAACCAGCAUCAGAAGCUCCUAAAUCAGAAGCUACUAGGCCAGAAGCUCAUCCUUCAGGUAUUCCUUCUGUUCCGAAAGCUUCAGUCAAUAUUCAGACUCCUAUCCUUCCUUCUUCACCCUCAUCAUCAUCAUCAUCAUCAUCCACUAACUCAGAUGACAUUCCUUUGAGUCAGCACAUCAAACAAUGCCUACCAAACUUCAAACCUUCAACUUCAACCUUUCAAGAUGACUAUGAGCAGAUGCAAAUCCAUUUCUCUGAACAGAGGAUAAAAAUCUGUGAAAACUUGAAUUUGUCUGCUGAUCAUUUCUUUCAACCACCCUUAGUCGAACCUUUAAAUAUCCAACAUCCUGAAACAACCCCAACACCACAAAAAGCCUCUGAAGUUGCUCUAGAAGCAGCUACUUCAGAAGACCCCCAACAACAUGAAACCUCAACCCUUCACAACUUUGAAAAGCAUUUAGGAGGUGAAAUGCAACCAACCUCCACAAAGGCCUCUAAAACAGUCCCUGAAAAGACUGUCUUAGAAAACCAACCAGAAACAUCAACCGUCCCUGAGCAAAGUGUUCCUGAACAUACUGUUCCUGAAAAAGUUGUCUCUGACCUACCCCAACCCAACACAGAACAACAAACAGAAAAUCUUAACCAUUCACCAACUCAAAAUCAAACUAUCCCUGAGCAACAAACUACCUCUGACUAGCCUUCUUCAUCUCAUACAACCUCUAUUCCAGAACCUUCAACCAUUCCAGAACCAAUACCCAUCCCAAAUACCAUCCUUGAGUCUGAAUAUAUUGAUGAAGAGCUUCAAAGGAUGUGUGAUGAAAUUCAAGGACUUAUUCUUCUCAGAAAAGUUGCUUCACCUUCAAUUAACUACAUAGAUCAAUGGAUGAAUCUGAAAGCUGGUUUGAAGAGAGAUUUCGCUGAGUUGCUGGAACUACUUAGUGAAAAAUGCAUCACAACUCAUGAUGAAUUGCUGAAGAAGAAAUUGGAAGAACUUCACUCUGCUGAGGAAGAGAAAGAGCAAGACUCUGUGCUUCUACUAGCUAAUGCUCCUUUCUUUCCAGAAAGUGAUUAUAUCUCAAGAGGAGACAGAAUUCGUCAAGGGCUGAAAAGGAGGCUUUUAGCUAAGAAUGAAGAAGCUCAGAAGGCUAAGCAGAAAUCUGAUACUUUGGAAGAAGUAGUGAACAAGCAAGCAGAAGAACUCAAGAAUCAGUCUGAGCAGAUCAAAUACUUGAUGGAACAAGUAUCUAAACUAGCCAAACCAUAGUUGCACACCAAUUUUUUACUUGUUUAGAUUUUGUUCUAGUAUUAACUUGUUCUAAUUGUGUAUUUUAACUUGCUUAUCAUGUACAUUUCAUUGCUUCUGAAACAAUUGUUGUUAAUCAUUUAUUCUAAUUACCAUUUUUGCUCUGAUUAUGCUCUGAUACGUAUGUUCAUUACAGUUUUUCUUAUUUAUUGCACAAACUCUUUCUUUUGUUUUAUUUACUUUUUGUUGAUGACAAAAGGGGGAGUAGUUGUAUAGUAUUUUAAGGCCAUGAGCCCCAUUAAAUUAACUUGAUUAAGUUAACUUUUUUCUCUGAACCAUUUUUCUAAGCUUGGUAUUUUUUUAAUACUUCUGAAAUUUCAUUAUCUUGUGCGCAUUAUAUUGAAAUUUAAUUAACGAGUAUAGAACUUAGGGGGAGCUUACAAACCUCACCUUAAAGAUCUACUAGACUCAGGGGGAGCUUACAAACCUCUUACCUAGGAGUCAACUUGUUAAUUAGAUCAACAACAAUUGAACAUUUUAAAUAUUAUUGUUUGUCAUCAUCAAAAAGGGGGAGAUUGUUGGACCAAAAUGUGUUUCACAAUAAACCUUAAUAAGUUUUGAUGAUAACAAGGUAUUAAAAAUUGUCAAUUGGUUAUUGCUAAUGAUUGUUCAAGUGUACAGGACCAUAUGCAAAGUCACUCAAUUUCAAUAGGUCUUGGAAGAACAAUGGAGAGCAAAAGAAUCCUAAGCAUCUGAAGAAAACUGCGUCUAAAACCAAGAAGUGCUUCUGAAGUGACAAAGUGCCUCUGAAGAAAUGACGUCAUCAAAAGCAGAAGAUCAUCAGAAGCAGAAGACCAUCAGAAGCACAAUUUCAUCAGAAGCUAUAUCAUCACCAGAAGCUUCAAGUGAACAGUUAAUUUAAACUGAAGAUUCAAAGAAGCUGUUUUUCGUUUCAAUCUCGUCUAAGAGAACGAAGAAUUGAAAGGGAGAUAUCAACGGGCAUUUUAAAAGCACUGAGUAUUUGUCCUUCAUUAUCAGAGUUGACAAAGUACAAGUGUACAACCACUACCUCCACUACUCUGUUUUUGUCUACGCUACAAGACAAGACAACAGCCAUGCCUGCAGAAAUGUUCCUUCAAGAUGGGAAUGAAUUUGAAGUCGAUUCUUCAAAGGACUACACCCAAAUCAGGCAAAAGAUUACUGGUGGAUGAUCAAAGGAACUCAACGAAUCUUUAGACGUGCUAAAAAUCUCAACGUCUCUUUCACACCUCUAUAUAAAGGAGUGAGGACUUGAAGAUUGGCAAGAGACAUCAAUACAAGUUAAAAGCGCCAAAACUCUGCCAAAUUUGAUUCUACAAAGCACCUUGAAUUUCUGCACUGAUUUGAUACAUCUUAGAAAUUCACAAGUCUAGAGUCUUUAUUGCAUUGUAUUGAGAACACCACUGAUUGUAUAUCAAGUGUUCAUCAUCAAACAUUUUCUCUGUAUUUUUGUUUGAAUAGAAGCCUCUUGCCUGCGUGCUUGAGCAUUAGUAGACUCUUGCUUUAGAGCUUGAGCAUUGGAAGACUCUUGCCUGCAUGCUUGAGCAUUUUGAGAAGUCUCAUACUCAGAGAGUAUUGAGCAUUUGUAAUCUUUGUGAUUAUUAGUGAAAUCUCCUUGGAAGUGCAAGGGGGACUGGACUACUUCCGAUUUGUGGAAGGAACCAGGAUAAUUGCUUGUGUCUUUCUUUCUUUUCUCUACUAUGUAUUAUUCCGCUGCAUAUCUGAUUCUGAACAUUACAUCAGAAGCACUCCUAACCUGCUUCUGAAGUAUUAUCAGAAGAAGAAUUUUUAGAGAAAAAGAAAACACAAUUCAACCCCCCCUUCUUGUGUUUUUCUCACCUUCAUUAAUCUCUAAGCAAUUCUAAAUAUUUUUUAAGAGCUUACUCGUUCGCAAAAUGGGUACCCCAAGGGUACACCUUUGGAAGUCGCCUUCCUCAAAUUAUUAUCCAAACAAUGAAAUUCACCUAAAAGUAUUUGAAUUCGUUCAAAACAUUCCCCCAUCCAAACACACUCUUAAGAUUCAUAUACGAAGUUGGCGCCUUUAGAUGACAAUUUAGGAAUCUUAAUUCUUGUACGUUCUGGGCCGGCUAGACCAAGGAGCAUCAGACCAAGGCGAAUUGACCAAAGGAAUACACUAGCAACAUUGUAUCCUACCCUACUGGAGCACACCCCCGUGCAUCAGACAUCGUACGCAUGUUCUCCAACGGCCUUUUGAUGAGGGGUUGCAUCCCACGAAGACAGUUAUUCACACACGCCUAUAUAAGGGCGGCUUAACUUCAAUCCUGAGGUAUGAUUCAAUUUUCCCACACUUUUCACACAUUCCAUCUUAUUUUCCAUACUGACUUGAGCGUUGGAGUGUUAACGUGCCUGCAGGCACCUUUCGUCUCAUCGCCACCCUAUCAGAGCACUUUUCGCCAAUGUUGUCUCCAUCAGUUCCUCACCGAAUAAAUCAUUUUAUGUUUCAAUUACCUAUGCAAGAGUAAGGCCCCACUCUAGUACUCUAUGUGUAGGCAUACUAGAUCUUGUAGGAUUGACGACCCUGCACCUUUUAUAGCAGGUAUAACCUUGGAGUGAUCAGCAGGUGAACUCAACAGCUGAAGGGACAUACUUCCCCACUAACUCAUCACUUAAAUAGAAUAGUUGUAUUAUAAAAAUGUUGACUUGUCUUUAAUCCAACAAUAAAAAAUAGGGUAUUUUAAGAAUCCUAACCGCCGAUAACAUUCUACAAUUAAACCAGGUUAGUAACUUACUAAUGUUUUUCCCAAUCAAAAAAACUUGUAAAAGCCCCCUAAUUUAACACAUUUAUUUAUAUUUGUUGUUUUUAUUAUUUAUUCUAAAUAAGCAACACUAGUUGGCAAGUUGAAAUGACAAUUCCUAUGGAAAUGAUGAAAACUCAAACACACCUUGUUGAAAUAACAUGCUUCAUAUUUCAGUGUUGGAGUUGAAUUUGUAUGCGUUUUCUGAUGAGGAGAAAUAUAUA
rnacentral:lncRNA from 1 species